GGCGACGUAGCUCAGGUGGUUAGAGCGCUCGGCUCAUAAUCGAGAGGUCGUCGGUUCGACCCCGACCGUCGCUACCA
rnacentral:tRNA from 3 species